rnacentral:rRNA from 1 species
AUGAAGAGACUUUUGAGGGGCUCAUCGAGCCGAAGCUCUAAGGAAAAACAAAAGGAAGAAGAGGAGAAGCCCAAAUUUAAUUUGCCUCGCACCGCGGAGGUCCGGCCGUGUGAAUGGCCUUUCGAUGACUUCUUGAGGAGAGUUGGGAUUUACGAAGAUUUCUAUCUAUUGAUUGAGAAUGCUGGCCUCACCAACUUCCUCCACGACCAACGUCAUCAGUAUCUCUUACUCACAAAUACUUUUGUGCAAAACUUCUACUUUUUCCCUAAGAAAUCACCACCAACAGUAGAGUUUCAUUUAUAUGACGUUGUUAAAGAGAUGACAUUAGCUGAAUUCUGCGAGGUUUGCAGAAUACCCUUUGAGGGCACCUUAGAUGAACCCCACCGUAAUGAAGUAGAAGCUUUUAUUAACACUAUCACUGUGGGAGAAACCAGGAAUGUUUCUGAUGCAAGGAUCACUAGCAUACAUUUUCCCGUUUUACGCUACUUUGCCUUAUUUGCUAGUCGUUGCUUGAUUGGUCGCGGAAACUAUGGGAACCUUAGUAUUCCUGAUAUUAUUAUUUUGCUCCAUGGUUUAUACCGCAAUAACUCUGUUAGUAUGGGUGGAAUUGUUGCUAGACAGUUAAGUCUGAACCGUACUAAGGGCCCCAUCUUUGGAGGCAUUUAUGCUUCACGCCUAGCUGAACAUUUUGAAAUACCUAUUAGGCAUGAAGAGAAAGAAGAAACAGCGCUGCCCUGUGCUUAUUUAGAUUAUAGGAGUAUGAUAGCGCAUGACUUUCUUGUUAAGAGUCAUGAAGGGGAGCUCAAAUAUAAACUAUACUUUGAUAAACAUCACCCUGAGACUAUUACUUUGCCUGCUCCUUCUUUGUUUAACUUGUCUGUGGGACCUCACAUCAUUCCGUGGUCGGCUGUUCAAGCCUAUCGGAAUCCUGCACCAGCCCCGGAACCGGAGCCACAAGAUGAGUCUCCACGACUAUCUGUUUAUUCUUGGGAUCCAGAGGAGGUUGCCAGCCAGUGGCAGCCGGAGCCUUCUUCAUCGCAGUAUGACCCCAGCUUCACCUACGGGUAUCCGCCAGGCUAUCCCUGGCAAUAG